rnacentral:rRNA from 1 species
UACGUAGGGGGCAAGCGUUGUCCGGAUUUAUUGGGCGUAAAGAGCAUGUAGGCGGCCAGACAGGUCAGCUGUGAAAACUCGAGGCUCAACCUCGAGACGUCGGUUGAAACCGUUUGGCUAGAGUCCGGAAGAGGAGAGUGGAAUUCCCGGUGUAGCGGUGAAAUGCGCAGAUAUCGGGAAGAACACCCGUGGCGAAGGCGGCUCUCUGGGACGGUACUGACGCUGAGACGCGAAAGCGUGGGGAGCGAACAGG